UCCCUACGGGAGGCUGCAGUGGGGAAUUUUGGACAAUGGGGGCAACCCUGAUCCAGCCAUGCCGCGUGAGUGAAGAAGGCCUUCGGGUUGUAAAGCUCUUUCGGCCGGGAAGAAAUCGUGUGGGCUAAUACCCUGCAUGGAUGACGGUACCGGAAUAAGAAGCACCGGCUAACUACGUGCCAGCAGCCGCGGUAAUACGUAGGGUGCGAGCGUUAAUCGGAAUUACUGGGCGUAAAGCGUGCGCAGGCGGUUUGGUAAGACAGGCGUGAAAUCCCCGGGCUCAACCUGGGAACUGCGCUUGUGACUGCCUCACUAGAGUACGGCAGAGGGGGGUGGAAUUCCACGUGUAGCAGUGAAAUGCGUAGAGAUGUGGAGGAACACCGAUGGCGAAGGCAGCCCCCUGGGUCGAUACUGACGCUCAUGCACGAAAGCGUGGGUAGCAAACAGGAUUAGAUACCCUGGUAGUC
rnacentral:rRNA from 1 species